UCAUCACAGUAACCCCAUUCCGUGUUCCUUCGUUUUCUCUGUUUGACUUCAGUGGAAGCAACAUAAUUUUCCCCAAAUCAUAUCAUACAUAUCACAUUUUCACAUUUGGAAGCAGCAUAAGGCGAUCACGCAUGAAAGGAGUAUCUAUGACCUCGGUGGCGAAGUUGAUCCGAACAUCUCAGACAUCGGCAGUGUAAUUAGGGAUCUUAAAGGAAACGGCGACAUGUGAUUGUGUAGCGAGGUUGUUGAUCUCAAAUGAGAAACGGUUCAAUCAAAUGGCGGAGGGAAGGGACGUCCGUGAGAUCCAGUCUAGCAACCGUUCAAUUCUCACCUCCCUCAACCUAAAAUCGUUUCUAAAGAGGUGAUGACAUAUGUAACUCAAGAAGUGAAGGAUCUGUAUCAUCUUCUAGAAAAUAAAAUUUCUACAUUUGGAUUUGGCAUCAAUAGUACAAUCUCUGGAAAAAUAUCUUCAACAUCUACUGUACCAGAAGUGCCGCUUUCUCAGUACAUUCCUGCUUUGGAAAAAGUAGCAACCUUAAGACUCCUACAACAGGUGUCCUAAGUGUACCAAACAAUGAAAGUUGAGACUUUAUCAAAAAUGGUUCCUUUCUUUGACUUCUCAGCUGUAGAGAGGAUCUAUGUUGAUUCUGUCCAGCAUAAUUUCAUUGCUAUGAAAGUUGACCACAUGAAGGUGCAAUUAUACUUGGUGACUUGUUUUGUUUUUCCCAAGGGUUUUGAAUCCGACACACUGCAAGGGAGAAGGUGACAAAGAAAUCCUUGAUGGAGUUGGCAAUACAGGAGCAAGUUAGAGAGAGGCAAGAAAUGGAAAAGAAGAUGCAAAAACUAAUCAAGACCAUGGAUCAUUUUGAAAGAGCCAAAAGGGAAGAGGCUGCACCUCUCAUUGAAGCUUCUUUCCAAAGAUGUUUGGCACUUUGGCUGAAGAGAAACUCCGCCAUGAACACGAACAACAGGUAAUCUACUUACUUUGUAAAAUAAAAAAAAGAUGUAAAUGCCCAAGUUUACUUGCUUUUUUUUUUUUUUUUGCAUGCAACUUGAGGUUGAACUGAGUAGAGAGUGUCAUGAAGGAGAUCUGAAGGAGAAGUAUAGACUUGCUCGUGUUAUGGAACAUAAGAUGGAACUUGAGGAAAAAGUUGUGAGCAGACAAAAGGCAGAGUAUGAUAGAAUGAGAGCUGAGAGAGAGAGGAAAGACUUGGCCAAAUCCUCAAGGCACAAAAAGAGGAAAGGGACCUAAAAAGGAAAAUGUUGUUUUAUUUGAAGACUGAAAAAGAAAGGCUCAACAAGCUUCGUGAGGAAGAAGAAGCCCGCAAACGUGAAGAGGCUGAAAGGCGCAAGAAAGAGGAGGCUAAACGGAGGGCGAAGUUGGAUGAAAUAGCUGAAAGGCAGAGGAAAAGAGAACAAGAACUUGAAGAAAGAGAGAGGCUUAGGAAGGAGUGCAACACCGCUUGAUGGCCCAACCAGACCGUCUGAGCUUAUCUUAAUUGAAAAUUUAAAUGAAAAAUUAUUAAUUUCCAUACAAGGUGGAUGAUUUUAUUAACAUAUAUAAAUAUUUUAUUAUGAGAAUUAUAAAUAAUAUACUUGAACUAACGGUUGUACUUGAAAGAAUAGCAAAGAUGAUGGUUCAGACAACAAUUUGAUUGGUCAAUUUGGUGUUGGAUUUUAUUAUGCCUUCCAGGUUGCUUACUGAUAACAUUAUGUAUCAGAUAACAUUUUAUGUUUAAUUUGUAGCAUUUUGAUGUAUUGGAUAUUAUUAUAGUUUCUAUAGAAAUACUACUUUUGGUUUUA